UACGAAGGUCCCAAGCGUUGUUCGGAAUUACUGGGCGUAAAGGGAGCGUAGGCUGUGGGGCAAGUCGGGUGUGAAAUCCCGGGGCUCAACCCCGGAACUGCACUCGAUACUGCUUUACUAGAGGACUGGAGAGGAGAUUGGAAUUCUCGGUGUAGCAGUGAAAUGCGUAGAUAUCGAGAGGAACACCUGUGGCGAAGGCGGCUCUCUGGGACGGUACUGACGCUGAGACGCGAAAGCGUGGGUAGCAAACAGG
rnacentral:rRNA from 1 species